AUUGAACGCUGGCGGCAGGCCUAACACAUGCAAGUCGAGCGGAGCGGCGGACGCGAGCGUAAUGCCUAUGACUGUGCCUGGUAGUGGUGGAUGAGGUCCGCUAACGGACACUAAUACCGCAAACUCUCACAAGAGUCUGGGUCGGAUUAGCUAGUUGGUGGGGUAGAGGCCUACCAAGCCGACGAACCGUAACGGGUCUGAGAGGAUGAGCAGUCACACUGGAACUGAGACACGGUCCAGACUCCAACGGGAGGCAGCAGUGGGGAAUAUUGGACAAUGGGCGAAAGCCUGAUGCAGCCAUGCCGCGUGUGUGAAGAAGGUCUUCGGAUUGUAAAGCACUUUAAGUUAGGAGGCGUUACCAGCAGAAGAAGCACCGGCUAACUUCGUGCCAGCAGCCGCGGUAAUAC
rnacentral:rRNA from 1 species